AGUGAACGCUGGCGGUAGGCCUAACACAUGCAAGUCGAACGGCAGCACAGUAAGAGCUUGCUCUUACGGGUGGCGAGUGGCGGACGGGUGAGGAAUACAUCGGAAUCUACUUUUUCGUGGGGGAUAACGUAGGGAAACUUACGCUAAUACCGCAUACGACCUACGGGUGAAAGCAGGGGAUCUUCGGACCUUGCGCAAUUGAAUGAGCCGAUGUCGGAUUAGCUAGUUGGCGGGGUAAAGGCCCACCGAGGCGACGAUCCGUAGCUGGUCUGAGAGGAUGAUCAGCCACACUGGAACUGAGACACGGUCCAGACUCCUACGGGAGGCAGCAGUGGGGAAUAUUGGACAAUGGGCGCAAGCCUGAUCCAGCCAUACCGCGUGGGUGAAGAAGGCCUUCGGGUUGUAAAGCCCUUUUGUUGGGAAAGAAAAGCAGCAGGUUAAUACCCCGCUGUUCUGACGGUACCCAAAGAAUAAGCACCGGCUAACUUCGUG
rnacentral:rRNA from 1 species